rnacentral:rRNA from 1 species
GUGGGGAAUAUUGGACAAUGGGCGAAAGCCUGAUCCAGCCAUGCCGCGUGAGUGAUGAAGGCCUUAGGGUUGUAAAGCUCUUUCAGUAGGGAAGAUAAUGACGGUACCUACAGAAGAAGCCCCGGCUAACUUCGUGCCAGCAGCCGCGGUAAUACGAAGGGGGCUAGCGUUGUUCGGAUUUACUGGGCGUAAAGCGCACGUAGGCGGAUUGGUAUGUUAGAGAUGAAAUCCUGGAGCUCAACUCCAGAACUGCCUUUAAUACUGCCAGUCUAGAGUCCAGAAGAGGUGAGUGGAACUCCUAGUGUAGAGGUGGAAUUCGUAGAUAUUAGGAAGAACACCAGUGGCGAAGGCGGCUCACUGGUCUGGUACUGACGCUGAGGUGCGAAAGCGUGGGGAGCAAACAGGAUUAGAAACCCGGGUAGUCC